rnacentral:rRNA from 1 species
GUGGAGCAUGUGGCUUAAUUUGACCCAACGCGGGAAAUCUUACCGGGUCCGGACACACUGAGGAUUGACAGGCAAUCGUUCAUUCCAUUAAAUUUUUAAUUUAUUGGGUGAAUUCUAAAUAUGCUAGUCCUUUCAUGAUUAUGUGAUAGGUGGUGCAUGGCCGUUCUUAGUUCGUGGAGUGAUCUGUCUGCUUAAUUGCGUUUCACUAAGGGCCUAUAUUAAUUAAGGGGGGUUGGAAACCACUUGGACCCCUCAGGUUCGGCUUCGGUUAAUUCAGUUCACGGAAGGUUACGGGGGGCCUCGGGUUUUGUUUUACUUCGAAUUAAGGGAACCCGGAAAGCAACAAAGGGGACCAAAGGGCAAAUUCGUUUAACCCGGCAGAACUAGCCCUUUUAGGGAGGUUAAUUUCGGACCUGGCGGAAUCCAGGGCCUUAGUUGUUUCUGGUGUGAAAUUGUUAUCCGUUCACAUUUCCAACCAACAUACGACCCGAAGCCUUAAGUGGUAAGCCCGGGGGGGCCUAUGGGUGGAGCUACCUCACAUUAUUGGCGUGGCGCUCACGGCCCGCUUUCCAGUCGGAAAACUGGUCCUGCCAGCUGCAUAAAUGAUUCGCCCACGGCCGCGGGAAGAGGCGUUGCCUAAUUGGCGCUUCUUCGCUUCUUC